UUAGAGUUUGAUCCUGGCUCAGGACGAACGCUGGCGGCGUGCCUAAUACAUGCAAGUCGAACGCGUCCCGGUUGAUGAAGUUGAGUGCUUGCACUUAAUUGAUUCAACUUGGUGACGAGUGGCGAACUGGUGAGUAACACGUGGGUAACCUGCCCCGAAGCGGGGGAUAACAUUUGGAAACAGGUGCUAAUACCGCAUAACAACCAAAACCACCUGGUUUUGGUUUGAAAGACGGCUUCGGCUGUCACUUUGGGAUGGACCCGCGGCGUACUAGCUAGUUGGUGAGGUAACGGCUCACCAAGGCGAUGAUACGUAGCCGACCUGAGAGGGUAAUCGGCCACAUUGGGACUGAGACACGGCCCAAACUCCUACGGGAGGCAGCAGUAGGGAAUCUUCCACAAUGGACGCAAGUCUGAUGGAGCAACGCCGCGUGAGUGAUGAAGGGUUUCGGCUCUUAAAACUCUGUUGUUGGAGAAGAACGGGUGUUAGAGUAACUGUUGACAUCGUGACGGUAUCCAACCAGAAAGCCACGGCUAACUACGUGCCAGCAGCCGCGGUAAUACGUAGGUGGCAAGCGUUGUCCGGAUUUAUUGGGCGUAAAGCGAGCGCAGGCGGUUUUUUAGGUCUGAUGUGAAAGCCUUCGGCUUAACCGGAGAAGUGCAUCGGAAACCGGGAGACUUGAGUGCAGAAGAGGACAGUGGAACUCCAUGUGUAGCGGUGAAAUGCGUAGAUAUAUGGAAGGACACCAGUGGCGAAGGCGGCUGUCUGGUCUGCAACUGACGCUGAGGCUCGAAAGCAUGGGUAGCGGACAGGAUUAGAUACCCUGGUAGUCCAUGCCGUAAACGAUGAGUGCUAAGUGUUUGGAGGGUUUCCGCCCUUCAGUGCUGCAGCUAACGCAUUAGGCACUCCGCCUGGGGAGUACGACCGCAAGGUUGAAACUCAAAGGAAUUGGCGGGGGCCCGCACAAGCGGUGGAGCAUGUGGUUUAAUUCGAUGCUACGCGAAGAACCUUACCAGGUCUUGACAUCU
rnacentral:rRNA from 1 species